CCCGCUCAGAAACUUAAAGGAAUUGACGGGGGCCCGCACCAAGCGGUGGAGCAUGUGGUUUAAUUCGAUGAUACGCGAGGAACCUUACCUGGGCUCAAAUGUAUGUUGACGUAUUCUGAAAGGGAUACUUCUUCGGACAAUAUACAAGGUGCUGCAUGGUUGUCGUCAGCUCGUGCCGUGAGGUGUCGGGUUAAGUCCCGCAACGAGCGCAACCCCUGCAUUCAGUUGCCAUCGGGUAAUGCCGGGCACUCUGGAAGGACUGCCAUCGACAAGAUGGAGGAAGGUGGGGAUGACGUCAAGUCAUCAUGGCCCUUAUGUCCAGGGCGACACACGUGCUACAAUGGCCGGCACAACGGGAAGCGAGUUCGCGAGGACGAGCGGAUCCCUCAAAGCCGGUCGCAGUUCGGAUUGAAGUCUGCAACUCGACUUCAUGAAGCUGGAAUCGCUAGUAAUCGUGGAUCAGCCAAGCCGCGGUGAAUACGUUCCCGGGCCUU
rnacentral:rRNA from 1 species